GGUUAAGUGAAUAAGGGCGCACGGUGGAUGCCUUGGCACUAGGAGCCGAUGAAGGACGGGACUAACACCGAUAUGCUUUGGGGAGCUGUACGUAAGCUAUGAUCCAGAGAUUUCCGAAUGGGGGAACCCAACAUCUUUAAUAGGAUGUUACGAUUGUGUGAAUACAUAGCACAUUCGAGGUAGACGCAGAGAACUGAAACAUCUAAGUACCUGCAGGAAGAGAAAGAAAAUUCGAUUCCCUGAGUAGCGGCGAGCGAAACGGGAAAAGCCCAAACCAGCAAGCUUGCUUGUUGGGGUUGUAGGACUCCAAUAUGGUAGUUCUUUCAGAUAGUCGAAUGACUUGGAAAAGUCAGUCAAAGAGGGUAAAAACCCCGUAGACGAAAUGUGGAAGACACCUAGGAGGAUCCUGAGUACGGCGGAACACGAGAAAUUCCGUCGGAAUCCGGGAGGACCAUCUCCCAAGGCUAAAUACUCCCUAGUGACCGAUAGUGAACCAGUACCGUGAGGGAAAGGUGAAAAGCACCCCGGAAGGGGAGUGAAAUAGAACCUGAAACCGUGUGCCUACAACAAGUCAAAGCCCGUUAAUGGGUGAUGGCGUGCCUUUUGUAGAAUGAACCGGCGAGUUACGAUUGCAUGCGAGGUUAAGUUGAAGAGACGGAGCCGCAGCGAAAGCGAGUCUGAAUAGGGCGUUUGAGUAUGUAGUCGUAGACCCGAAACCAUGUGAUCUACCCAUGUCCAGGUUGAAGGUGCGGUAAAACGCACUGGAGGACCGAACCCACGUACGUUGAAAAGUGCGGGGAUGAGGUGUGGGUAGCGGAGAAAUUCCAAACGAACUUGGAGAUAGCUGGUUCUCUCCGAAAUAGCUUUAGGGCUAGCCUCGGAAUUGAGAAUGAUGGAGGUAGAGCACUGUUUGGACUAGGGGCCCAUCUCGGGUUACCGAAUUCAGAUAAACUCCGAAUGCCAUUCAUUCAUAUCCGGGAGUCAGACUGUGAGUGAUAAGAUCCAUAGUCGAAAGGGAAACAGCCCAGACCACCAGCUAAGGUCCCAAAAUAUAUGUUAAGUGGAAAAGGAUGUGGGGUUGCACAGACAACUAGGAUGUUGGCUUAGAAGCAGCCACCAUUUAAAGAGUGCGUAAUAGCUCACUAGUCGAGUGACCCUGCGCCGAAAAUGUACCGGGGCUAAACAUAUUACCGAAGCUGUGGAGUACACCUUUAGGUGUAUUGGUAGGAGAGCGUUCUAAGGGCGUUGAAGGCA
rnacentral:rRNA from 1 species